rnacentral:rRNA from 1 species
AUGGGAUACAUUGAGAGAAUGGAGUUUCAAGAUCUCAACGAUGACACUUUCUAUGCGGGCCGCAUCGGGUUGGGCUACGACUGCGAGCAUGAUGAGCAUGUUCUAGUGCGUAUGACCUACAAAGAGAAGAACUUCACGACGCGAGAAUACCAACUUGAAUGCAGCUUGCGGUAUGUGGAAGAACAAGAAUGGCAUUCAUUAGAUGCUCCUCCUAGACCAGUGGCUAACAUCCAACCCACCUACAUCGAUGGCAAGAUUUUCUGGAUGGUGGAGCCUAACCUCGGACCAAUUUCUCUACAUCGUGAAAUCAUCGCAUUCGAUGUCAAGAAGGAGGAAUUUGAGGUUCUUCCAGGUCCUCCAUGCGGCAGCCAUGGCAACGGGCAUGUGUCCGUCCUCGAGCUGCAAGGCGCGCUUUGCGUGGCUUGUUCGGACAAGACCACGAAUGUGAUCUCCAUAUGGAUGAUGAAGGAUGUUGGCUUCUGGUUGAAGGAAUAUCAUAUAGAUUUGAAAGAGUUCUCGCCUGAGUAUUCGUCUGAGUGGACUACACCUUUGGCCAUUGAUCGAAAAGAUGGACGGAUUUUGCUCAACACGGGCUGGUCAUUGGGAUACUAUGACCCCAAGACGGCGUCGAUGGAGACCAUAUGCAGGGCGGGCAUGCCUGGGGAUGACUUCAAGUUUUGCCCUGUUGUCUGCCAUGAAAGUUUAGUCAGUAGGUUUGGGUCACAACCCUAG